UCUACGUACGGAUUCGUA
rnacentral:miRNA from 1 species